UCGGGAAUUUUGGGCAAUGGGCGAAAGCCUGAUCCAGCCAUGCCGCGUGAGUGACGAAGGUCUUCGGAUUGUAAAGCUCUUUUGGCGGGGACGAUAAUGACGGUACCCGCAGAAUAAGCCCCGGCUAACUUCGUGCCAGCAGCCGCGGUAAUACGAAGGGGGCUAGCGUUGUUCGGAAUUACUGGGCGUAAAGCGCACGUAGGCGGAUUUGUAAGUCAGGGGUGAAAUCCCGGGGCUCAACCUCGGAACUGCCCUUGAUACUGCAAAUCUCGAGUCCGAUAGAGGUGAGUGGAAUUCCUAGUGUAGAGGUGAAAUUCGUAGAUAUUAGGAAGAACACCAGUGGCGAAGGCGGCUCACUGGAUCGGUACUGACGCUGAGGUGCGAAAGCGUGGGGAGCAAACAGGAUUAGAUACCCAGGUAGUCCCUGAGCGGGCUGGCAAGGCG
rnacentral:rRNA from 1 species